CAGGAGUAAGAAGUUUGUGUCUUCUCUUAUGGAAGGGAAAGCUAUUCUUAUUUGCCUUAUGGUGCUUGUGCACCUAGGAAAUUCCAUUCAUAUUGAUAAAUGCAAGGAUCUAGUUGCUACUAUCGGUCGUGAGUGCGAUCUGUUAAAAUGCCAGGGGACCUGCAAAGAUUUGUUUGGAGCGGAACUCAUAGCCUCAUGGUGUCUCAACGCCGUCCCAUACUAUUGGCAUUGUUGGUGUCGUGUCUGUUGGUAGAGUUGCACUGAACAAUCAUGUCGAAAAUGGACAAAUGAUGUGAUCCAAUAAUAAAAUCUUCCUGUGACAUGCAUCUAAGAAUACAUAAUGAUUGCCAAA